rnacentral:lncRNA from 1 species
ACAGCGAGACGGGCGGUGGGGCGGAGCCGAGGCCCAGGAACGGAGGUGGAGGAGCAGACCCGGGCGACGCGGCCCGCGAGCGAGAGGGUCGUCCGGGUCAGUCCAGCGCAACUCGGGUCACCAGUCCCAGGGCCCUGGUCCCCUUAUUGGAUCUAUGUCUGGGUUUGCUGAAGCACCCGCUGGGCCCAGGACUGCAGAGACGCCCCUACCCAGGCUGUGCCCCGGGUGGAGGGGGACAGGGGGAACGGCUUCAUCGCGGGGUUCGGGGCAGGACAGCUCAGGACCUGCGGAGAUACUGGAUGGUGUAGGAUCCCAGGCCAAAGGUGGCGCACCCUGAGAUCAGCAGCCCAGCUCCCUGCAGCCUUGAGGAGGGCGCUGCCUGCGUCUUUGGGAGCCUCAGCUUCCCCUCCGGUUCCGGGCCUUGGAGUGCUGGUCUGCAGCUGCGGCCUGGCUCUGUGCCCGGCCUGACCCUCGUUCACACUGCACACCCCUGGAGGCAGGACAGAAAGUGUGCACAGCGAAGACCCUGACACCCUACUGGUUGAUGAUCCAAAUCCCGAGGUCCCUCUCAGAGUCCGGUGAGAUCCAGAGCCAGCUAGAGGAAGAAAGUGGCCGCGUCAGCUCCCGAAAGGCCGUCUGGGUGAGGUUGAAAGGAAAAGCCAACAGGAGUUCCCAUCGUGGGGCUUCGGAAACAAUCCGACCAGGAACCAUGAGGUUGCGGUUUCCAUCCCUGGCCUGGCUCAGUGGAUUAAGGAUCCGGUGUCUCUGUGGCUAUGGUGUAGGCCGGCAGCCGUAGCUCCCAUUCGACCAGUAGGCUCUCGGGUCCACCUCCUCUCCCCGUGGUCCUGUGCUGCCUCUUCCUACCCUGCUCCUCAGCAGCUCAGUGCAACUCUCCUGUCCCCCGCAUCCUCCCUGGUCGCACGCAGAGAGCAUCUGUGCAAAGACAACAGACGCGGCCACCCAGACCCUUUAGCUCACAGAGGAUGCCCUGAACGGACUCCCAGGGAGCCUACAGAAGACCACGGACUUGAGAAGGCACUGUGAACUGCUUGGUAGCAUCUGCAAGAUGGGGUUUGGUUUCAGGUCUGUGUCCUGCCCGCCACCCUCAGGCCCCGGUGGGCUCAGGAGGGCCUUGGGCACAGCCCGAGGGGCCUCGACCCUCAUACAGUGCAGAGCAAAGUCAGAGAUGGGUGGAGGCAGCUGCUGCUCCGGGUGGGAGCUGAUGACAUCCCGCCUGUCGUGUAGACAUUUGAGUUAACUGGCCCUGGGGUUGCCAAUAAUCUCAGUCAGGUCGAAGCCUCCACUCGGAGACGUUUGGGGCAGAAACCUGCUGAUUUACCCCUUGUUUUAACUCUUGGGGAACAAGGGGAUUGCUGACCGCUCCCACUGGCAGGGAGCAGGGAGUGGAAAGAGAACAGCCCUCGAGGGAGAGGCCAAGGAGCCCGUCUGCUCUGGCUCUGCACCGUCCAGCACAGUGGCCUCAGCCUGUCCCAACUGCGAUGUGCGAAUGUGCACAAGAAACACCUGAUUUCAAAGACGUUGAAAAAAAUGCCAAAUAUCUUUCUAAUAAUUUUAUAUUGAUUGCCUCUGGAAAUUAUGUUUUAGAUGUGUUAAGGUAAAUAAAAUAUAUUAUUAAAUUU